rnacentral:rRNA from 1 species
CAUAACGUCGCAAGACCAAAGAGGGGGACCUUCGGGCCUCUUGCCAUCAGAUGUGCCCAGAUGGGAUUAGCUAGUAGGUGGGGUAACGGCUCACCUAGGCGACGAUCCCUAGCUGGUCUGAGAGGAUGACCAGCCACACUGGAACUGAGACACGGUCCAGACUCCUACGGGAGGCAGCAGUGGGGAAUAUUGCACAAUGGGGCGCAAGCCUGAUGCAGCCAUGCCGCGUGUAUGAAGAAGGCCUUCGGGUUGUAAAGUACUUUCAGCGGGGAGGAAGGGAGUAAAGUUAAUACCUUUGCUCAUUGACGUUACCCGCAGAAGAAGCACCGGCUAACUCCGUGCCAGCAGCCGCGGUAAUACGGAGAGUGCAAGCGUUAAUCGGAAUUACUGGGCGUAAAGCGCACGCAGGCGGUUUGUUAAGUCAGAUGUGAAAUCCCCGGGCUCAACCUGGGAACUGCAUCUGAUACUGGCAAGCUUGAGUCUCGUAGAGGGGGGUAGAAUUCCAGGUGUAGCGGUGAAAU